rnacentral:rRNA from 1 species
GUCCUAGCCCUAACGGUGUGCGCUUGCUGUAAGAGGAAUCGACCCUCUUGUGGCGAAGCUAACGCGAUAAGCGCACCGCCUGGGAGUACGGUCGCAAGAUUAAACUCAAAGAAUUGACGGGCCUGCACAAGCGGUGGAGUAUGUGGCUUAAUUCGAUGCAACGCGAAGAACCUUACCUGGCCUUGACAUGCAUGUGGUAGAACCAUGAAAGUGGGACGACCCGCAAGGGGAGCAUGCACAGGUGCUGCAUGGCUGUCGU